rnacentral:rRNA from 1 species
CCUACGGGAGGCAGCAGUGGGGAAUAUUGGGCAAUGGAGGAAACUCUGACCCAGCAACGCCGCGUGAAUGAUGAAGGUCUUCGGAUUGUACAGUUCUUUUCUAAGGGAAGAAGAAAGUGACGGUACCUUAGGAAUAAGCCUCGGCUAACUACGUGCCAGCAGCCGCGGUAAUACGUAGGAGGCAAGCGUUAUCCGGAAUGACUGGGCGUAAAGGGUGCGUAGGUGGUUUGACAAGUUGGUAGCGUAACUCCGGGGCUCAACAUUGGCACUACUACCAAAACUGUUGGACUUGAGUGCAGGGGGGGCAAAUGGAAUUCCUAGUGUAGCGGUGGAAUGCGUAGAUAUUAGGAGGAACACCAGUGGCGAAGGCGAUUUGCUGGACUGUAACUGACACUGAGGCACGAAAGCGUGGGGAGCAAACAGGAUUAGAUACCCGAGUAGUC